UUUUUCUGAGACAGGGUUUCUCUUUAUAGCCCUGGCUGUCCUGGAACUUGUAGGACCCCAAGAAGGAGCCCCCAACUCAAGUCUCGGGAAGCGGGGUCACCCAAAGAAACACGAGAGACC
rnacentral:pre_miRNA from 7 species